rnacentral:rRNA from 1 species
UACGUAGGGUGCAAGCGUUGUCCGGAAUCAUUGGGCGUAAAGCGCGCGUAGGCGGCCCGGUAAGUCCGCUGUAAAAAGUCCAGGGCUCAACCCCUGGAAAGCCGGUGGAUACUGUCGGGCUAGAGUCCCGGAAGAGGCGGGUGGAAUUCCCUGGUGUAGCGGUGGGAAUGCGCCAGAUAUCCAGGAGGAACACCGAUGGCGGAAGGCAGCUCGCCUGGGACG